UGCCCUGUAGCUCAGUGGUAGAGCAGGUGACUGUUAAUCACUUGGUCGUUGGUUCGAAUCCAACCGGGGCAG
rnacentral:tRNA from 1 species